GUUCAAUGUCAAAUCUAUGUUCCUUGUAAUGUGGAUUGAUUUUAUAAACUGUUCAUAGGAAGUAAUACCUGAAAAUGUGCAUACAAGGACAUAGUGUGCAUUACUGAUUUAUCCUAUUAAACAAAACAUUUUUCCAGGUCGUUAACAACGAUGCAUGUAUUCACAAUAUGUUUCCUCCCCUCAAAAUGUAGCUUUCUUGGGUUAAUCCUGAAAAUAUUCUAAGCUUCGGUAGUGGUAAUACAGUAAUAAGUCAUGAUUAAGAAAUGCAUUGAAAACUUAAUUGUUCUUCCUAACUUAUCUAGCUCUACCAACUCUGCUCAGGAUGUUAAGCACUGCUUGCUGAAGGUAAGCUGAAUCAUCACAUUCACUGAACAUGUGAAAACAGACAACUGUACACUAGUGUCACCAAGACAGUAAGUCAGUAAAAGAUUUAAGAGGUGAUGACACAUGAUGCUCCCUUUCUAUGUCUUGAGUAUAACCAAGGAGAAAAAAUUCAUGGGCAUCUUUUUCACGCAUGUUGUAACUGAGUUGUACAGAAGAGGAAGAAGUAUGGGGAAGAGGAAGAAGAAGGAAAAGGAGGAGGAGGAGGAGAAGAAUAAGAGAAAACAUUUUUCUAUCGGAGGUAAGUGAGCUUGGUGAUGGAGAGAAUAUGUCUUCAAAAGAGCAAUGAAAGGACAUUAGAGAACGAAAAGCAAUUGGCAAUUUUUUUGUGAAUUCGUAGCAAAAACUGUCUAAGCAAAAGCUAAAGCAAAAUCCAGACCUCAGAGCCUGUCUGAGAGGUAAGUAAGCAAAAUAGUGUAAAUUAAAUGUGUGCUUCUGAAAAUACAGUCCUUUUGUGUAAAAAAAU
rnacentral:lncRNA from 1 species